AUUAUCCCAAAACUGAAUCCUCUAUCGCUUAGCUGGUAGUAGGAAAUGUAGUUUUUCGGUUGGCUUGAUGCUAAAUUAAUUGCAGCCUAUAGUCCGCACGAUUGCGGCCAUACUCAUAGAGGGUGUAAAGCCUGUACUGGUUGCUUUUGAUUUAGCUAACAAGUCUUCCAAGAGUCGAGUAGUUUGGGACUGCUACUCAAAGACGGGUGGUAGACUCCAUCCAAGGCUAAAUAUAACACUAGACCGAUAGCAAACAAGUACCGCGAGGGAAAGUUGAAAA
rnacentral:rRNA from 1 species